rfam:Dipodomys ordii contig_61147, whole genome shotgun sequence.
GGGAAGGUAGCUCAGUGGUAGAGUGCAUGCCUUGCAAUCAUGAAGCCCUGGGUUCGAUUCCUCAGCACCA